UUGCUUUCGUCUUUUUCUGUUUCUUUUUCUUUUUCUUGUUUCUCUAUUCAAAAGCAGAAAGAUUGAUACCACCAGGAGGAGGACCCCCUUGAGCAACUUGAUCAAUUUUAAAAUUUUGGGGAAUUGAGGACAAGCCUUGAAUUCGGACUGAUUCUGUCCUUUCAUUUUGCUUGAGGAAGGUAUAAAAGUCAACCCAUUCAUUUUUCCCUCCUUUUUUAACUUGG
rnacentral:ribozyme from 13 species